AUUGAACGCUGGCGGCAGGCCUAACACAUGCAAGUCGGACGGUAGCACAGAGGAGCUUGCUCCUCGGGUGACGAGUGGCGGACGGGUGAGUAAUGUCUGGGGAUCUGCCCGAUAGAGGGGGAUAACCACUGGAAACGGUGGCUAAUACCGCAUAACGUCGCAAGACCAAAGAGGGGGACCUUCGGGCCUCUCACUAUCGGAUGAACCCAGAUGGGAUUAGCUAGUAGGCGGGGUAACGGCCCACCUAGGCGACGAUCCCUAGCUGGUCUGAGAGGAUGACCAGCCACACUGGAACUGAGACACGGUCCAGACUCCUACGGGAGGCAGCAGUGGGGAAUAUUGCACAAUGGGCGCAAGCCUGAUGCAGCCAUGCCGCGUGUAUGAAGAAGGCCUUCGGGUUGUAAAGUACUUUCAGCGGGGAGGAAGGCGAUAAGGUUAAUAACUUUGUCGAUUGACGUUACCCGCAGAAGAAGCACCGGCUAACUCCGUGCCAGCCGCCGCUGUAA
rnacentral:rRNA from 1 species